UUGAAUGGAAGGUAGUCCAAGAGAUUCAUGAUGUUGAUUUCUUUACGAACAUUAUGGGUAGUGGACUUCAUUUUGACUGGCGAUACAUUCCUAAUUUACUGCUCAUUUCGUAGUUGUGCACAAAAUGCCUGGGCGUGCAAGUUUUAUGUGAAAAUGAUGCACCGACGGUCUUUUGGAAGAAUGGGAAAAUCACAUGGCUGUCGGAUUGCAAGCACAUAGGGCAUUGCUUAUGUGGCGUACAGUUCAUAAAAACUUCCUAAAUUGAGUAUUUAUUUUCAGUUCUAUGCUCUGUUAGACUACUAGAGCUAGAGGUGCUAAAAUCCUAGAUGAUGCUAGAUGGUGUAAUGGAAUUAGUGCCGAAUUAUAUUACAAAAUGUACAAAUUGGAUAAGUAUAACAAAUC
rnacentral:lncRNA from 1 species